ACUCCUACGGGAGGCAGCAGCUAAGAAUCUUCCGCAAUGGGGGCAACCCUGACGGAGCGACGCCGCGUGGACGAUGAAGGCCGUAAGGUUGUAAAGUCCUUUUGCAGGUGAAGAAUAAGGUGGGGAGUGGAAAGCCCCGCUGAUGACGUUAGCCUGCGAAUAAGCCCCGGCCAAUUACGUGCCAGCAGCCGCGGUAAUACGUAUGGGGCGAGCGUUGUUCGGAGUUAUUGGGCGUAAAGGGCGUGUAGGCGGCCCGAGAAGUCUGGUGUGAAAUCGCAGGGCUUAACCCUGCGGGUGCGCUGGAAACUGACGGGCUAGAGUUCCGGGGGGGAAGCUGGAAUUCCUGGUGUAGGAGUGAAAUCUGUAGAGAUCAGGAAGAACACCGGUGGCGAAGGCGAGCUUCUAUUCGAGGACUGACGCUGAGGCGCGAAAGCGUGGGGAGCAAACAGGAUUAGAUACCCUGGUAGUCCACGCUGUAAACGAUGUGCACUAGGCGUGGGGCACGUCGGUGCUCUGUGCCGAAGUCAACGCGAUAAGUGCACCGCCUGGGGAGUAUGCUCGCAAGGGUGAAACUCAAAUGAAUUGACGG
rnacentral:rRNA from 1 species